rnacentral:rRNA from 1 species
UGGGGAAUUUUGGACAAUGGGGGAAACCCUGAUCCAGCCAUCCCGCGUGUGCGAUGAAGGCCUUCGGGUUGUAAAGCACUUUUGGCAGGAAAGAAACGUCAUGGGUUAAUACCCCGUGAAACUGACGGUACCUGCAGAAUAAGCACCGGCUAACUACGUGCCAGCAGCCGCGGUAAUACGUAGGGUGCAAGCGUUAAUCGGAAUUACUGGGCGUAAAGCGUGCGCAGGCGGUUCGGAAAGAAAGAUGUGAAAUCCCAGAGCUCAACUUUGGAACUGCAUUUUUAACUACCGGGCUAGAGUGUGUCAGAGGGAGGUGGAAUUCCGCGUGUAGCAGCGAAAUGCGUAGAUAUGCGGAGGAACACCGAUGGCGAAGGCAGCCUCCUGGGAUAACACUGACGCUCAUGCACGAAAGCGUGGGGAGCAAACAGG